rnacentral:rRNA from 1 species
UGGGGAAUUUUGCGCAAUGGGCGAAAGCCUGACGCAGCAACGCCGCGUGUGUGAUGAAGGUCUUCGGAUUGUAAAGCACUUUCGGCCGGGACGAAAACCCUGAGGCUAACAUCCUCAGGCUUGACGGUACCGGAAGAAGAAGCACCGGCUAACUCUGUGCCAGCAGCCGCGGUAAUACAGAGGGUGCAAGCGUUGUUCGGAAUUAUUGGGCGUAAAGCGCGUGUAGGCGGCUUUGCAAGUCGGGUGUGAAAGCCCUCGGCUCAACCGAGGAAGUGCGCCCGAAACUGCAGAGCUUGAGUACCGGAGAGGAUGGCGGAAUUCCCCAAGUAGAGGUGAAAUUCGUAGAUAUGGGGAGGAACACCGGUGGCGAAGGCGGCCAUCUGGACGGAUACUGACGCUGAGACGCGAAAGCGUGGGUAGCAAACAGG